CGCAUCUGUGCAUGCAGCAUAUCAAUAAGCGGAGGAAAAGAAACUAACAAGGAUUCCCCUAGUAACGGCGAGUGAAGCGGGAAGAGCUCAAAUUUGAAAUCUUAAAGGGUUUCCCUUUACGGAAUUGUAGUUUAAAGAGGUGUUUUCUGUUGAGGUUUUGGUAAAAGUUCUUUGGAAUAGGACAUCAUAGAGGGUGAGAAUCCCGUAUUUGACCUUUACUUUCAACUUUGUGAUACACUUUCAAAGAGUCGGAUUGUUUGGGAAUGCAGUCCAAAAUGGGUGGUAAAUUUCAUCUAAAGCUAAAUAUUGGCGAGAGACCGAUAGCGAACAAGUACCGUGAGGGAAAGAUGAAAAGAACUUUGAAAAGAGAGUUAAACAGUACGUGAAAUUGUCAAAAGGGAAGCGUUUGACACCAGUGUUGUUUUUCUGAAAAUCAAUUAAAGAACUGUUUAUGCUAAGUUGUUUAGACUUUAUCAGCUAACUGUUUAGUUUUGAGCUUUUCUUUAAUGCACUUUUCAGCUAACAAGUCAACAUCAAUUUCUUUUGCUGUAAAAAAGCUUGAGGAAGGUGGCUUGAGAUUCGUCUUAAGUGUUUAUAGCCUCUUGCCUAUGCAGUCGGAGAGAUUGAGGUCUGCAGCGUAGAUCCUUCGGGGCUAAAUGCAUUUGUGCUAAGUUAUAGCAUUUUAUAGACAACUUGUUGACUAUGAUUUGUCUUGUAGCUUACUCGCUUAUGUUAUUUUACCUACGCUUAGGAUGUUGACAGCAGUAUAGACUGU
rnacentral:rRNA from 1 species